rnacentral:rRNA from 1 species
UAACUUGCCUUUGACAUGUUGGAGAACUUCCCGGAGUUGGAUUGUUNCCUUCGGGAACUUGGAACACAGUUGUUGCAUGGUUGUCGUCAGCUCGUGUCGUGAGAUGUUGGGUUAAGUCCCGCAACGGAGCGCAACCCUUGUCCUUAGUUGCCAGCACGUAAUGGUGGGAACUUUAAGGAGACCGCCGGUGACAAACCGGAGGAAGGUGGGGAUGACGUCAAGUCAUCAUGGCCCUUACGGCCAGGGCUACACACGUACUACAAUGGUAGGGACAGAGGGCUGCAAGCCGGCGACGGUAAGCCAAUCCCAGAAACCCUAUCUCAGUCCGGAUUGGAGUCUGCAACUCGACUCCAUGAAGUCGGAAUCGCUUAGUAAUCGCAGAUCAGCAUUGCUGCGGUGAAUACGUUCCCGGGCCUUGUACACACCGCCCGU